GCCUUUCGCUUACACCGAAAAAAUAUCUGUAAAAUCAGAUUAUUUUGA
rnacentral:tRNA from 1 species